rnacentral:lncRNA from 1 species
CAGAGCAUGCAAAGAAGCAAAACCAGCAAGGAACAACAUCAACUCGAAGCCGCACUUCCAGAACCGGACACACACACACAAGAUCGCAAGCCAGCACCAUAACAGAACCGGAUCCGCGAAAGAAACAAAGAGGUAGUACUUUCUUUACCUUUAGAUCUAGGCCUCUGUGUGUACGUUUUCGAAAAUCUAGGUUUAGAACUGAAUAGAGGGGAGAGAGUCGAGUGAAAACAGCAAAAAAAUAGAGUUUUUUAGCUCCGGUGCGGCGGCGCCGCCGCGAUGGCUCGCCGACCACCGCACCAGAGUCUGCUCC